ensembl:misc_RNA Metazoa_SRP Metazoan signal recognition particle RNA
GCCAGGUAUGGUGGCUCAUGCCUGUAAUCCCAACUACUCAGGAGGCUGAGGCAGGAGAAUUGCUUGAACCCAGGAGGUGGAGAUUGCAGUGAGCCGAGAUUGCACCAUUGCACUCCAGCCUGGGUGACAGAGUGAGACCCUGUCUCAA